rnacentral:tRNA from 2 species
GGGGCUCUAGCUCAACUGGCAGAGCAGCGGACUUUUAAUCCGCGGGUUGUGGGUUCGAGUCCCACGGGCCCUA